rnacentral:rRNA from 1 species
AUUGAACGCUGGCGGCAGGCCUAACACAUGCAAGUCGAACGAGUGGCGGACGGGUGAGUAAUGUCUGGGAAACUGCCUGAUGGAGGGGGAUAACUACUGGAAACGGUAGCUAAUACCGCAUACCAUCGGAUGUGCCCAGAUGGGAUUAGCUAGUAGGUGGGGUAAAGGCUUACCUAGGCGACGAUCCCUAGCUGGUCUGAGAGGAUGACCAGCCACACGGGAACUGAGACACGGUCCAGACUCCUACGGGAGGCAGCAGUGGGGAAUAUUGCGCAAUGGGCGCAAGCCUGAUGCAGCCAUGCCGCGUGAAUGAAGAAGGCCUUCGGGUUUUAAAGUUCUUUCAGCGGGGAGGCGUUACCCGCAGAAGAAGCACCGGCUAACUCCGUGCCAGCAGCCGCGGUAAUUC